UACGUAAGGUCCGAGCGUUGUCCGGAAUUACUGGGUGUAAAGGGCGUGUAGGCGGCACUGUAAGUCAGAUGUGAAAUCUCCCGGCUCAACCGGGAGCGUGCAUCUGAUACUGCAGUACUUGAGUGAUAGAGGGGAAAGCGGAAUUCCUAGUGUAGCGGUAAAAUGCGUAGAUAUUAGGAGGAACACCAGUGGCGAAGGCGGCUUUCUGGCCAUAAACUGACGCUGAGGUACGAAAGCGUGGGUAGCAAACAGG
rnacentral:rRNA from 1 species